rnacentral:rRNA from 1 species
CAGUAGCCGCGGGAAUACGUAGGUGGCAAGCGUUGUCCGGAAAUAUUGGGCGUAAAGGGCUCGCGGGCGGUUUCUUAAGUCUGAUGUGAAAGCCCCCGGCUCAACCGGGGAGGGUCAUUGGAAACUGGGAAACUUGAGUGCAGAAGAGGAGAGUGGAAUUCCACGUGUAGCGGUGAAAUGCGUAGAGAUGUGGAGGAACACCAGUGGCGAAGGCGACUCUCUGGUCUGUAACUGACGCUGAGGAGCGAAAGCGUGGGGAGCGAACAGGAUUAGAUACCCCCGUAGUCCCUGUCUCUUAUAC